rnacentral:rRNA from 1 species
UUUCGCAAUGCCCGAAAGGGUGACGAAGCGACGCCGCGUGAGUGAGGAAGGCCUUCGGGUUGUAAAGCUCUGUCAGGAGUUAAGAAAUAUAAGUGUGUUAAUACCACAUUUAUUUGACGAAGGCUCCAAAGGAAGCCACGGCUAACUCUGUGCCAGCAGCCGCGGUAAUACAGAGGUGGCAAGCGUUGUUCGGAAUUAUUGGGCGUAAAGAGCACGUAGGUGGGUUUGUAAGUCAGAUGUGAAAGCCUUCUGUUCAACGGAGGAAUUGCAUCUGAAACUGCGAGUCUUGAGUGUAGGAGGGGAGAAUGGAACUUCUGGUGGAGCGGUGAAAUGCGUAGAUAUCAGAAGGAACGCCGGCGGCGAAAGCGAUUCUCUGGCCUAUUACCGACACUCGGUGUGCGAAAGCUAGGGGAGCAAACGGGAUUAGAUACCCCGGUAGUCCUAGCUGUAAACGAUGGGCACUAAGUAGAGGGGUUUUA